GGGGAUUUAGCUCAGUGUUAGAGCGCUUGCCUAGCAAGUGCAAAGUUUCUGGGUUCGAUCCUCAGCUCCA
rnacentral:tRNA from 1 species